rnacentral:tRNA from 1 species
GUUCCGAUAGUUCAAUGGAUAGAACGAGGCCCUCCUAAGGCUUAAAUCCAGGUUCGAGUCCCGGUCGGAACGCCA